CUCCAGAUGCUCCGGUUGAAGAUGCUUCGGGAAGAUGCAACCAGAUCCAAAAGAUGCUCCAGAUCCGGUUGAAGAUGUUCGAUAUUGAAGAUGAUGUUUUUCAGAUGACGGUUCAAUGUUGAAGAUAAUCCAAAAGAUGUUGAAGAUGUUCCAGAUCUAAAAGAUCCCCCAGAUCAAUAAAGUGACGUGAAGCAUGGUGUGGUUCAUAUGACGGUUCGAUGUUUUAGAUCUGAAGCAUUUAGUUCUUGUUUUCUGGAUAUGUUAUAUGAAACAAUUUGA
rnacentral:lncRNA from 1 species